rnacentral:lncRNA from 1 species
UUACCAAAAUUAUAACAGAAACCCUUUAUGAAUAAUUUACAGUAGGUAUAUCGACAGAUUUUGCUCGAAAGUAUAACACAAUUCUCUUAUUUAGCCAUAAUGAACACUAGUGUAUUAUAGGUAGAUGAACUAUAGAACAAAUUAAGAGCUAAUUAACACAAUUGACAUCACUGCAUAAGCAAAGAGGGUUGAGAGAAGAAGUUACCAAUUGAAGUCUCGCGAGCUAUCAUUGGUUACCUACAAAUUUGCAUGUUAGGUAUAUCUACGAAUUUUACAUCGGUUACCGAAGACAUAACACUUGUUGGAGAUCUCAGAUCGAUUCAAGAUUAAAGUAUUUCAUAAUAUAUAGACAGAUGUAAAUCUCAUCUCAUAAACUAGAUUUAUAAAUUGAACUUAAAGUCCAUUUCUCAAUAAAUCAUCUCUAAUUUAGGUAUAUCGACAAAUUUUGUAUUGAUUUUUGAAGGCAUAACACAAUCCUUCUCAUCAUGUAGUUAGAUAUGAGACCAACUAGGACAUUAUAGAACUUUUGUUAAGUCCUCUCAAAAGCUGAAAAGUUAUCAUCAUAAAAUAAGUUGAACAAAAAAGACACUACGUUGACAUUGUCACAUAAGCAAAGAAGAAGGUUGAGAGAAGAAGUUACCAAGAAACCUGGCAAGAAAUCAUCAGAGUUG